UACAGAGGGUGCGAGCGUUGUCCGGAAUCACUGGGCGUAAAGGGCGCGUAGGUGGUGGCUUAAGCGUGCGGUGAAAGCUCGGGGCUCAACUCCGAGUCGGCCGUGCGAACUGGGCUCACUGGAGCAUAGUAGAGGCAGGUGGAAUUCCGGGUGUAGCGGUGGAAUGCGUAGAGAUCCGGAAGAACACCGGUGGCGAAGGCGGCCUGCUGGGCUAUGGCUGACACUGAGGCGCGACAGCGUGGGGAGCGAACGGG
rnacentral:rRNA from 1 species